CCUACGGGAGGCAGCAGUGAGGAAUAUUGGUCAAUGGGCGCAAGCCUGAACCAGCCAAGUAGCGUGAAGGAUGACUGCCCUACGGGUUGUAAACUUCUUUUAUAAAGGAAUAAAGUGAGGCACGUGUGCCUUUUUGUAUGUACAUUAUGAAUAAGGAUCGGCUAACUCCGUGCCAGCAGCCGCGGUAAUACGGAGGCUCCGAGCGUUAUCCGGAUUUAUUGGGUUUAAAGUGAGCGUAGAUGGGUUGUUAAGUCAGUUGUGAAAGUUUGCGGCUCAACCGUAAAAUUGCAAUUGAUACUGGCAGCCUUGAGUAGAGUUGAGGUAGGCGGAAUUCGUGGUGUAGCGGUGAAAUGCUUAGAUAUCACGAAGAACUCUGAUUGCGAAGGCAGCUUACUAAACUGCCACUGACAUUGAUGCUCGAAAGUGUGGGUAUCAAACAGGAUUAGAUACCCUAGUAGUC
rnacentral:rRNA from 1 species